GGGUUGUGAGGUUAAGCGACUAAGCGUACACGGUGGAUGCCCUGGCAGUCAGAGGCGAUGAAGGACGUGCUAAUCUGCGAUAAGCGUCGGUAAGGUGAUAUGAACCGUUAUAACCGGCGAUUUCCGAAUGGGGAAACCCAGUGUGAUUCGUCACACUAUCAUUAACUGAAUCCAUAGGUUAAUGAGGCGAACCGGGGGAACUGAAACAUCUAAGUACCCCGAGGAAAAGAAAUCAACCGAGAUUCCCCCAGUAGCGGCGAGCGAACGGGGAGCAGCCCAGAGCCUGAAUCAGUGUGUGUGUUAGUGGAAGCGUCUGGAAAGGCGUGCGAUACAGGGUGACAGCCCCGUACACAAAAAUGCACAUACUGUGAGCUCGAUGAGUAGGGCGGGACACGUGGUAUCCUGUCUGAAUAUGGGGGGACCAUCCUCCAAGGCUAAAUACUCCUGACUGACCGAUAGUGAACCAGUACCGUGAGGGAAAGGCGAAAAGAACCCCGGCGAGGGGAGUGAAAAAGAACCUGAAACCGUGUACGUACAAGCAGUGGGAGCACGCUUAGGCGUGUGACUGCGUACCUUUUGUAUAAUGGGUCAGCGACUUAUAUUCUGUAGCAAGGUUAACCGAAUAGGGGAGCCGAAGGGAAACCGAGUCUUAACUGGGCGUUAAGUUGCAGGGUAUAGACCCGAAACCCGGUGAUCUAGCCAUGGGCAGGUUGAAGGUUGGGUAACACUAACUGGAGGACCGAACCGACUAAUGUUGAAAAAUUAGCGGAUGACUUGUGGCUGGGGGUGAAAGGCCAAUCAAACCGGGAGAUAGCUGGUUCUCCCCGAAAGCUAUUUAGGUAGCGCCUCGUGAAUUCAUCUCCGGGGGUAGAGCACUGUUUCGGCAAGGGGGUCAUCCCGACUUACCAACCCGAUGCAAACUGCGAAUACCGGAGAAUGUUAUCACGGGAGACACACGGCGGGUGCUAACGUCCGUCGUGAAGAGGGAAACAACCCAGACCGCCAGCUAAGGUCCCAAAGUCAUGGUUAAGUGGGAAACGAUGUGGGAAGGCCCAGACAGCCAGGAUGUUGGCUUAGAAGCAGCCAUCAUUUAAAGAAAGCGUAAUAGCUCACUGGUCGAGUCGGCCUGCGCGGAAGAUGUAACGGGGCUAAACCAUGCACCGAAGCUGCGGCAGCGACGCUUAUGCGUUGUUGGGUAGGGGAGCGUUCUGUAAGCCUGCGAAGGUGUGCUGUGAGGCAUGCUGGAGGUAUCAGAAGUGCGAAUGCUGACAUAAGUAACGAUAAAGCGGGUGAAAAGCCCGCUCGCCGGAAGACCAAGGGUUCCUGUCCAACGUUAAUCGGGGCAGGGUGAGUCGACCCCUAAGGCGAGGCCGAAAGGCGUAGUCGAUGGGAAACAGGUUAAUAUUCCUGUACUUGGUGUUACUGCGAAGGGGGGACGGAGAAGGCUAUGUUGGCCGGGCGACGGUUGUCCCGGUUUAAGCGUGUAGGCUGGUUUUCCAGGCAAAUCCGGAAAAUCAAGGCUGAGGCGUGAUGACGAGGCACUACGGUGCUGAAGCAACAAAUGCCCUGCUUCCAGGAAAAGCCUCUAAGCAUCAGGUAACAUCAAAUCGUACCCCAAACCGACACAGGUGGUCAGGUAGAGAAUACCAAGGCGCUUGAGAGAACUCGGGUGAAGGAACUAGGCAAAAUGGUGCCGUAACUUCGGGAGAAGGCACGCUGAUAUGUAGGUGAAGUCCCUCGCGGAUGGAGCUGAAAUCAGUCGAAGAUACCAGCUGGCUGCAACUGUUUAUUAAAAACACAGCACUGUGCAAACACGAAAGUGGACGUAUACGGUGUGACGCCUGCCCGGUGCCGGAAGGUUAAUUGAUGGGGUCAGCGCAAGCGAAGCUCUUGAUCGAAGCCCCGGUAAACGGCGGCCGUAACUAUAACGGUCCUAAGGUAGCGAAAUUCCUUGUCGGGUAAGUUCCGACCUGCACGAAUGGCGUAAUGAUGGCCAGGCUGUCUCCACCCGAGACUCAGUGAAAUUGAACUCGCUGUGAAGAUGCAGUGUACCCGCGGCAAGACGGAAAGACCCCGUGAACCUUUACUAUAGCUUGACACUGAACAUUGAGCCUUGAUGUGUAGGAUAGGUGGGAGGCUUUGAAGUGUGGACGCCAGUCUGCAUGGAGCCGACCUUGAAAUACCACCCUUUAAUGUUUGAUGUUCUAACGUUGACCCGUAAUCCGGGUUGCGGACAGUGUCUGGUGGGUAGUUUGACUGGGGCGGUCUCCUCCUAAAGAGUAACGGAGGAGCACGAAGGUUGGCUAAUCCUGGUCGGACAUCAGGAGGUUAGUGCAAUGGCAUAAGCCAGCUUGACUGCGAGCGUGACGGCGCGAGCAGGUGCGAAAGCAGGUCAUAGUGAUCCGGUGGUUCUGAAUGGAAGGGCCAUCGCUCAACGGAUAAAAGGUACUCCGGGGAUAACAGGCUGAUACCGCCCAAGAGUUCAUAUCGACGGCGGUGUUUGGCACCUCGAUGUCGGCUCAUCACAUCCUGGGGCUGAAGUAGGUCCCAAGGGUAUGGCUGUUCGCCAUUUAAAGUGGUACGCGAGCUGGGUUUAGAACGUCGUGAGACAGUUCGGUCCCUAUCUGCCGUGGGCGCUGGAGAACUGAGGGGGGCUGCUCCUAGUACGAGAGGACCGGAGUGGACGCAUCACUGGUGUUCGGGUUGUCAUGCCAAUGGCACUGCCCGGUAGCUAAAUGCGGAAGAGAUAAGUGCUGAAAGCAUCUAAGCACGAAACUUGCCCCGAGAUGAGUUCUCCCUGACUCCUUGAGAGUCCUGAAGGAACGUUGAAGACGACGACGUUGAUAGGCCGG
rnacentral:rRNA from 1 species